rnacentral:rRNA from 1 species
AUUGAACGCUGGCGGCAGGCCUAACACAUGCAAGUCGAACGGUAACAGGAAGCAGCUUGCUGCUUUGCUGACGAGUGGCGGACGGGUGAGUAAUGUCUGGGAAACUGCCCGAUGGAGGGGGAUAACUACUGGAAACGGUAGCUAAUACCGCAUAACGUCGCAAGACCAAAGAGGGGGACCUUAGGGCCUCUUGCCAUCGGAUGUGCCCAGAUGGGAUUAGCUAGUAGGUGGGGUAACGGCUCACCUAGGCGACGAUCCCUAGCGGGUCUGAGAGGAUGACCAGCCACAUGGGAACUGAGACACGGCCCAGACUCCUACGGGAGGCAGCAGUGGGGAAUAUUGCAAAAUGGGCGAAAGCCUGAUGCAGCCAUGCCGCGUGUAUGAAGAAGGCCUUCGGGUUGUAAAGUACUUUAAGCGGGGAGGAAGGGAGUAAAGUUAAUACCUUUGCUCAUUGACGUGACCCGCAGAAGAAGCACCGGCUAAUUCCGU